UAGGGAAUCUUCCGCAAUGGGCGAAAGCCUGACGGAGCAACGCCGCGUGAGUGAUGAAGGUCUUCGGAUCGUAAAACUCUGUUAUUAGGGAAGAACAAAUGUGUAAGUAACUAUGCACGUCUUGACGGUACCUAAUCAGAAAGCCACGGCUAACUACGUGCCAGCAGCCGCGGUAAUACGUAGGUGGCAAGCGUUAUCCGGAAUUAUUGGGCGUAAAGCGCGCGUAGGCGGUUUUUUAAGUAUGAUGUGAAAGCCCACGGCUCAACCGUGGAGGGUCAUUGGAAACUGGAAAACUUGAGUGCAGAAGAGGAAAGUGGAAUUCCAUGUGUAGCGGUGAAAUGCGCAGAGAUAUGGAGGAAAACCAGUGGCGAAGGCGACUUUCUGGUCUGUACAUGACGCUGAUGUGCGAAAGCGUGGGGAUCAAACAGG
rnacentral:rRNA from 1 species